CUGUCUGGGCCUGCAGCCUUGCAAGGGUUAACACGUUUAAAUGUUUUACUCACGUUGGCUGCAGUGAAGGAGAGCCCGCAGGUUUUGGUAGCGGGCCGUGUCAGUGGCACUAUAUUGUCCUCAAAUCGAGCAAAGAAGUUGUUUAGUUUGUCUGGGAGCAAGACAUUGUGGUCCGCGACAGGGCUGAUUUUUCUUUUGUAGUCCGUGAUUGACUGUAGACCCUGCCACAUACCUCUCGUGUCUGAGUGAAUUGCGACUCUACUUUGUCUCUAUACUGACGCUUAACUUGUUUGAUUGCCUUGUGGAGGGAAUAGCUACACUGUUUGUAUUCGGUCAUGUUUCCGGUCACCUUGCCCUGAUUAAAAGCAGUGGUUCGUGCUUUCAGUUUUGCGCGAAUGCUGCCAUCAAUCCACGGUUUCUGGUUGGGGAAUGUUUUAAUAGACGCUGUGGGUACAACAUCACCGAUGCACUUGCUAAUAAAACUCGCUCACCGAAUCAGCAUAUUCAUCAAUGUUGUUGUUCGAUGCUAUGCGGUAUAUAUCCCAGUCCACGUGAUCGAAGCAAUCUUGAAGCGUGGAAUCCGAUUGGUCGAACCAGCGUUGAACAGACCUGAGCACGGGUGCAUCCUGUUUUAGUUUCUGUCUAUAGGCUGGGAGCAACAAAAUGCAAUCAUGGUCAGCUUUUCCAAAAGGAGGGCGGGGGAGUGCCUUAUAUGCGCCGCGGAAGUUAGAAUAACAAUGAUCCAGGGUUUUGCCAGCCCUGGUAGCACAACCGAUAUGCUGAUAGAAUUUGGGGAGCCUUGUUUUCAGAUUAGCCUUGUUAAAAUCCCCAGCUACAAUAAAUGCAGCCUCAGGAUAUGUGGUUUCCAGUUUACAUAGAGUCAAAUAAAGUUUGUUUAGGGCCGGCGAUGUGUCUGCUUGGGGGGAAUAUACAUGACUGUGAUUAUGAUCGAAGAGAAUUCUCUUGGUAGAUAAUGCGGUCGGCAUUUGAUUGUGAGGAAUUCUAAGUCAGGUGAACAAAAGGCCUUGAGUUCCUGUAUGUUGUUAUGAUCACACCACGUCUCGUUAAUCAUAAGGCAUACACCCCCGCUCUCUUUCUCACCAGAAAGAUGCUUGUUUCUGUCGGCGCGAUGCGUGAAGAAACCAGGUGGCUGUACCGACUCUGAUUGCGUGUCUCGAGUGAGCCAUGUUUCCGUGAAACAAAGAACGUUACAGUCUCUGAUGUUUCUCUGGAAGGCAACCCUUGCUCGGAUGUCGUAUACCAUAUUCCCAAGAGACUGGACAUUGGCGAGUAGUAUGCUCGGGACCGGUGCGCCAUGUGCCAUCUACGGAGCCUGAGGUCUUGGCUGAUUUCUUUUGAUUUUCCCAUGAUGUCAAGCAAAGAGGCACUGAGUUUGAAGGUAGGCCUUGAAAUACAUCCACAGGUACACCUCCAAUUGACUCAGAAGCUUCUAAAGCCAUGAUGUCAUUUUCUGGAAUUUUCCAAGCUGUUUAAAGGCACAGUCAACUUAGUGUAUGUAAACUUCUGACCCACUGGAAUUGUGAUACAGUGAAUCCUAAGU
rnacentral:lncRNA from 1 species